AAGCAUUUCAGCUUUGAAAGGCCAAGAAUUAGGGAUUCGAACGUUUUUAUCCUUACACCCUAUUUAGUGAAAUUAUUAAUCAAAGCUAUUUUUUUUAAACGUUUGCGAUGUUCUUGACAUUUUUUGGCAAUCUAAAGUAAUCCUUUUGUUUACGUUGACGCUUUGAUUUCUCUACAAAUACGUACCAAAAGUUAACAAUGUACAAGGAAAUUCACGUCCAAUUAACUAACUUUUAUCUUUCAUGAUACGAGUAAAAUAGACUACAAAAUCCAGAAAAGAGCUUAAAAUUGUUUAGGGAACAUCUUCAUUAUCAGUUAACAACGUGCAUGUAAGCAAUUAUUAACCCAAUUCACUGUCACAGUAAGUGUAUUUGUUCGUUUACGGAAGUUUUUAUUAUAUUGCAUUUAAAAAGUUAUCAAAUUAAGAUUUACGUAUAAAAAAAUAUAGCGAUAACAAAUAAAAGAUUACACAUGGUUUAAAAAAUUUUUCUUUCCUCACGGUAUUUUUUGCAAAAUUUCCCUGACGUCCAGCUGUUAAACUAAUUAUUCAUUUCUGUUGGUGUUUAUUCAUAACCUUCUUUAAAUUAAAAAACUAAUUUUCUUCUGUAUUGAUGGUCA